rfam:Felis catus breed Abyssinian Contig15302.1, whole genome shotgun sequence. [26-MAY-2016]
GCCUGGGUGGCUCAGUAGGUUAAGCAUCUGACUUCAGCUCAUGAUCUCACGGCUCGUGAGUUCGAGUCCCGCGUCAGGCU